GGUUGUGAUUCUUCUCCCGAAUGAAGCAUGGCACAGAGCACUACAAGCCUUUCCGCGAGCUCUUUGCAUGGGGACGAUGGGGCAGGUGGCCCACAAGCAGAGGAACCGCCAUCCCGGUCUCUUGCGGUGAGGACGCAGGAUGGCACCGCUUGCUCAGUCGGGAUGGACGGAGGCUUCCCAGGCGGAGGCUCUCUUCUGAGCACGAGCAGGGGGCAGCUGCUCUCGCGCGUCCUGGGGUACCAGCCUUGGCGCUUGCGCACAGCACAGCAUCUCCCCGACUCCCCGUCCCGAGCCGGGCCCCGGCUUGCACGGUACUGCAAUCUUCUUGAACAGUGAUUCCAAACCUGAUUCCCACCGCCACUCCCCCAACCCAGACAACUCUGCUCAAGGAGAGCCGCACACUUCUGAGCGGGGAAAGAGAUUCUAAACUCUCUGCAGGUCCUCCCUUCUGGAGUGACCUCUUGUAUCCAGCAGUAAACCACAGCUAAUUGGCACAACAUCCUACUCCCACCCGCCCAGGUUCCAGACUGUAGUUACAGCUGCUGAAGGCCCUCCAAGGAAAGUUGCAUGAAAAAUGUAAUGUACAUCCAACUAGGAGAUGAGUAUUUGCCCACAGCAACAGCUUCUUCCCCUUGGGAAGCUGUCCUGUCCCCCAGCCACAUGAACCUGCCAUUCACGACAUCCUGCACCUGGCUACCAGUGAGUGGCAGAAGUAGGGUUGCAAUUCCCAAGGACAUGGGAUUGGAUCAGGAAUGGGCGUGUGACUUACGCCUCGCCCAUCAAAGUUUUUCCAUGGGAUAUUGCUCACUAGAACUUGGAGAAGAGCCCUCUUUCUUCCCUGGUUGCACACUGGGAAGCUGUAGAGCUGGGACUGCCCAUAACCCUUUUCGCCAAGAUGGCCCUGAAAGCAAAGAAGGAAGCUCCCACCACUCACAAAGUUGAAGCCAAAGCAAGGCUUUGAAGGCCAAGAAGGCAAUGCCAAAAGGUGUCCAUAGCCAUCAAAAAUAAAUAAAUAAAAAAGAAGAGCUGCAUGUCACCCACGUUCCAGUGGCCAAGACACUACGCCUCUGGCAGCUGUGCAAAUAUCCUCAGAACAACACCUCCAGGAGAAACAAGCUUGACCACUGUGCCAUCACCACGUUCCCCCCGACAACUGAGUCUGCUGUGAAGAAGAUAGAAGACAACAACACACGCGUGUUCACUGUGGAUGCCAAGCCCAACAAGCCCAGAUCAAAGAGGCUGUGAAGGACUCAGUGUCAUGGAUGGGGUCAAGGUCAACGCCCUGAUCAGACCCAACAGAGAGAAGGCAGCAUGUGUUCCAUGGCUCCUGAUUAUGAUGCUUUGCAUGUUGCCAGCAAAAUGGGCAACUAAACUAAACUGAAUCCAGCUGGCUAAU